AGGGCACCACCAGGAGUGGAGCCUGCGGCUUAAUUUGACUCAACACGGGAAAACUUACCUGGUCAGGACACUGGAAGGAUUGACAGAUUGAGAGCUCUUUCUUGAUUCAGUGGGUGGUGGUGCAUGGCCGUUCUUAGUUGGUGGAGCGAUUUGUCUGGUUAAUUCCGAUAACGAACGAUACUCUAGCCUACUAAAUAGACUGCUCAACUUUAUAGCUGCAUCACCUUGCAGUGGCUUCGGUUGCUGUAAGGCUGUGGUGACGUUGGCAGUGCUUCUUAGAGGGACAGGCGGCGGUUCAGCCGCACGAAACAGAGCAAUAACAGGUCUGUGAUGCCCUUAGAUGUCCAGGGCCGCACGCGCGCUACACUGAAGUGAUCAGCGUGCAAUUAACGUUUCCUACUCCGUCAGGAGUGGGUAACCCGUUGAACCUUCUUCGUGAUUGGGAUAGGGGAUUGUAAUUAUUCCCCUUGAACGAGGAAUUCCCAGUAAGCGCAAGUCAUAAGCUUGCGUUGAUUACGU
rnacentral:rRNA from 1 species